CGGCUCGCCUGCGUCUAAGAAGCAAAAACACACAGGCGAUUGACAUUGAACGCAACACUCUGCCUUUAUCAGAGGAACGCCGGUUGUGCGUGCGCAUGUGUGGGAUGACGACGUACAAGGUGCGCGCCACCGGACCGCGAACGCACCCCGGUUGCGUUGUACUCCGACAAAACUUUACGACGAAUAACGGUGUUGCCUUCACGUCCUUUAACCAUUUUGGCGUGUGUUGCGUUCAAGUUCCCCCGCACACAAAGUUUGAAUUUUGCACUCAGCUUUGGCGCGUCACUAAGAGGCCACAACAAACAUUCACAUUCACAUUCACGCGCACACAAGGUGAACCGAGACGGCAGGGAAGCAGAAAUCGGAUCAUUCUUACAGUGGCGUUGCGUCAGGAAGUCGCUGGAGUCGAGGUCACUCGCCAUGAAGACAUAACUCAAGUCUUCGUCUUCAACUGCAGCGUCCAGAAGAUCGCAGUGCAGCAAUGGAGUCGCCAUCGCUUUCUAUCUCAAGACAAGAUGGCAGCAACCUGAACCUGAAGUCUCCGUUGCACCACACAGCAGUAAAGGGACAGGGAGAUAUGGCAGAAGGACAAAUUCCAAGAAAAGCACCCGAAAAGAUUGUCACCAUGGAAUUGCUGCUCUGCAUUUGAUAUACAAAUGUAUGGGGAAAUAUAAUAUUUUUCUCCCAUCAGAAGACCAUCAAGCCGAUCUGGUGGGGCGUUUCUCCACUUGCCAAAUUGCUACAAAAUUGCUUGUUGCUUGGCAGUAUUAGCAUUGCGCUGUAUUAUAAUAAAUGCCUACUGUGCGGUUCCCCUUACUACUUGGGGGGGGCGACAUCUGCGCUGCCCCGCACAGAAAAAAAGUUCAAGAAAAUCCCCCAGGAAAACAAAUUCAGCAAAAUGACUGUAAAAACUGAGGAAUUAUAACAUUUGUAUCUACAGAUUCAUUUGACGAUGAGAUCACUAGUCUAUAUUUGACCCAUAUUUAUACGUGGAGGAGAGUAACAGGCUUCUUCCACUAUAACGCCAUCUGCUGGAAGCGGUGGGACAUUGCUUCACACAAUCCUGCAAUGCCAAAUUGCUUGUUGCUCGGCAGAAUUUGCAUUGUGCCCCGUUUAAAAACAAAACGAGCAAAAACAUAAAUAUUGGAAAGAGAGAAGCCUUUCCGCAAAGAUCUGCUGUCCUGCGUUUUCUCUAAAUUCUCUGCAGAUAAUGUUGAACUUGAACAAGAGGAUUAAGCAUGGAUACUGUGAUGAACUGAAACAGCAUGUCUGUCCUAUUUGAAUCUCAAUCGGUCACGGAGGCCAGAGCGGAACGCGCAUCCUCAUGAGCGAGGAUCGCGACUGACGUCGGGAGAGAGUACGGGUUGCCCCCGCGCCGGCGUCGCCGUACCAAUGUUGAAGAUAACAGAGCGAAAGCAGGAGUGAGUGGACCCUGACUGAAUCGGGCACGGGUAUAGAAAAAUAAAAGCACAAAUUCUAGUAUGUAUAAACAUUGACAUCUGGAUGAGCAUUUAACUCCCACAUGCUUACGUUGCAUGUAAACAAGUUGCAUGUGAGAGGCCGGCGUGUUGAUCAUACGUUGUUUACCGCUGCUGGCCAAUGGAAAACACUCCCCAGUUUGUUUGCAAUGUAAAGCGAGAUGUUAUUUUUGACAAAACGCUCAAGUCGGAGCUUGCAUGCUUUCCAUUGGAAAAAUGCGCCAAUCUCUGUGGUUCUCACUGAUGUGACCGUUUUCUUUAGUUUUUAAAGUUCCGCGCAUUUUCAUUUUUC